GUUCACCUUCUCGGUCGCCGGCGCACCCCGCCGCCUCUUCGGCUCGCCGGAGGCGCGUGGGGUUCCCGAGGAAGACGUGCCACCUGAGCUGCUCAAACGUCCGCCCCCCAGGCUGCAGUGCCACACUACCAUGGCGCUGGCCGAUCGCCGGAGCCACCUCCGCCCUUCUCUUCUGUGCCGCUCGCGACACCUCUCUCUCCUAACCAUGCCGAGGUUUCCGCCUCCCAGACCGGAGCUUCCACCUCCCUCUCCUCAAGCUAGCUAUGUGAGGGCUUCCUGCUCAGGUUUGCAGCUCUCGGGAGUUGAGAUCAGACUCCUACACUUCGAAUUGACAGAGAUUCGUCUGGCUCAUGAAUUGGUCAUAUUGACGACUCACAGAGCACAACAAAUGCACGGGCAUGCAAAAGCACAUCAACAGAAUGAGGAAAAUGGAAUAGAGGAACAUGCUGGGAAAACCAUGCUACCACAUAAAUCGAAGGAGGAGCAUACUAUCGACACGUUGAUUAGGAUAGAAAAUAUAAAGACACCAGACUUGGUGAUUGUAAUGUGUAAAAGAGAAUGUAUGACAGUAGUAGAUAAAAAUAAGACUCUGUAUGUAACAGAUAGAUUUUCUUCUUUCUUUUUACUUUGAUUUGAACAAAGGAAGAUUUGGAUUGAGCAGUACCUGCAAUUACUUUGACAUGUGAACCUGCAAAUACCAAACAAGAGAAUUUAGAUUUGAUUGAUAUUUUGAUUAAGUGAACGUAUCCUGUGCACACAAGCUUUCCGUGUGCACACCGCAGGAAAAGUAGUUUUUUUUAGAAAGAAAAGGUAAACCCCAACAUUUAUGGUUAUUUACAAGUGAUUGCUAUAGUGCAAUUAGUGGAACCAGACCCCCAGGCGGGAUGCGCUUAAGAGCAGGUACAAUAGCAGGCUAUAAGCCGGCUGUAACCA